UACGUAGGAGACGAGCGUUGUCCGGAGUUACUGGGCGUAAAGAGCUCGUAGGCGGCCAGUUGCGUCUGCUGUGAAAUCCCGGGGCUCAACCCCGGGCGUGCAGUGGAUACGGGCUGGCUAGAGGCAGGCAGGGGAGAACGGAAUUCCCGGUGUAGCGGUGAAAUGCGCAGAUAUCGGGAGGAACACCGGUGGCGAAGGCGGUUCUCUGGGCCUGUACUGACGCUGAGGAGCGAAAGCGUGGGGAGCGAACAGG
rnacentral:rRNA from 1 species